rnacentral:piRNA from 2 species
UAGACAGACAGUUGGGAGAUGGUUAA